GGGUCAGUAGGUUGGUCGUGCCACCGGUACGUACUGGUCUCACUGAUUCCUCCUUCCUGAAGAACCGUAAUGCCAUUAAUUUGGUGUUGCGGGGAAACAGGACUGUUACUUUGAAAAAAUUAGAGUGUUUAAUGCAAGCUAACGCUUGAAUACAUUAGCAUGGAAUAACGAAAUAGGACGAUCGAUCCUAUUUUGUUGGUUUCUAGGAUUGACGUA
rnacentral:rRNA from 1 species